UACAAAGGGAAAAAAAUAGCAACCGCGACCUGGAGGAAGGGAGAGACGGGAGGAGAUUAAAAUUAUCGACCUUGACUGAGUAUGGAAAGGAGCAGGACAUGGGAAUCGAAGCAUUGGAAGCCAUGCUUAUGGAUGAUGAAUUUAGAGGUUAGGUUGGCUGGCUGUUCGAUCAUCAUGGUGCUGUGUUUUUUUCUCUUCCCCGGAGUUUGGUCCUGUUCUUAUGCUCUGCUCCUUUAGUUG